UUAGUACUCCCUCCGUCCGGAAAUACUUGUCAUUGAAAUGGAUGUAUCUAUAUGUAUUUUAGUUCUAGAUACAUCCAUUUUGACGACAAGUAAUUUCGGACGGAGGGAGUAUCAA
rnacentral:pre_miRNA from 1 species